CCUACAGGAGGCAGCAGUAGGGAAUUUUCGUCAAUGGGCGCAAGCCUGAACGAGCAAUGCCGCGUGAACGAGGAAGGUCUUCGGAUCGUAAAGUUCUGUUGAAGGGGAAAAAGAGCGGAGAGAGGAAAUGCUUUCUGAUUGAUAUUACCCUUCGAGGAAGUCACGGCUAACUGCGUGCCAGCAGCCGCGGUAAUACGUAGGGUGCGAGCGUUAAUCGGAAUUACUGGGCGUAAAGGGUGCGCAGGCGGUUGAGUAAGACAGAUGUGAAAUCCCCGAGCUUAACUCGGGAAUGGCAUAUGUGACUG
rnacentral:rRNA from 1 species